AGNNNAUACAUGCAAGUCGANCGNUAAGGCUCCUUCGGGAGUACACGAGUGGCGCACGGGUGAGUAACGCGUAUGCAACCUACCUUGAACUGAGGGAUAGCCCAGAGAAAUCUGGAUUAAUACUUCAUAUUAAUAUGAAUUGGCAUCAAUUUAUAUUUAAAGCUCCGGCGGUUUAAGAUGGGCAUGCGUGACAUUAGUUAGUUGGUAAGGUAACGGCUUACCAAGACAGCGAUGUCUAGGGGUUCUGAGAGGAUUUUCCCCCACACUGGUACUGAGACACGGACCAGACUCCUACGGGAGGCAGCAGUAAGGAAUAUUGGGCAAUGGACGAAAGUCUGACCCAGCCAUGCCGCGUGCAGGAUGACAGCCCUAUGGGUCGUAAACUGCUUUUAUAUGGGAAGAAACUCCACUACGUGUAGUGGACUGACGGUACCAUACGAAUAAGGAUCGGCUAACUCCGUGCCAGCAGCCGCGGUAAUACGGAGGAUCCAAGCGUUAUCAGGAUUUAUUGGGUUUAAAGGGUGCGCAGGCGGGCUAAUAAGUCAGUGGUGAAAUCUCUCGGCUCAACCGAGAAACUGCCAUUGAAACUGUUAGUCUUGAGUACAGUUGUAGUGGGCGGAAUAUAGCAUGUAGCGGUGAAAUGCUUAGAUAUGCUAUAGAACACCGAUCGCGAAGGCAGCUCACUAAGCUGUAACUGACGCUCAGGCACGAAAGCGUGGGGAGCAAACAGGAUUAGAUACCCUGGUAGUCCACGCCGUAAACGAUGAUUACUCGAUGUUGGCAAUACACCGUCAGCGUCCAAGCGAAAGCGUUAAGUAAUCCACCUGGGGAGUACGCUCGCAAGAGUGAAACUCAAAGGAAUUGACGG
rnacentral:rRNA from 1 species